AUUGAACGCUGGCGGCAGGCCUAACACAUGCAAGUCGAACGAGUGGCGGACGGGUGAGUAAUGUCUGGGAAACUGCCUGAUGGAGGGGGAUAACUACUGGAAACGGUAGCUAAUACCGCAUACCAUCAGAUGUGCCCAGAUGGGAUUAGCUGGUUGGUGGGGUAACGGCUCAACAAGGCGACGAUCCCUAGCUGGUCGGAGAGGUUGACCAGCCAGAAUGGAACUGAGACACGGGCAAUAGGCCGACGGGAGGCAGAAGUGGGGAAUAUUGCACAAUGGGCGCAAGCCUGAUGCAGCCAGGCCGGGUGUAUGAAGAAGGCCUGCGGGUUGUAAAGUACUUUCAGCGGGGAGGCGUUACCCGCAGAAGAAGCACCGGCUAACUCCGUGCCAGCAGCCGCGGGAAUAC
rnacentral:rRNA from 1 species